rnacentral:snRNA from 1 species
AGAUGUGGGGGUGAUCUGGCUGUGACUUCUGUCACCCCCUUGAUCACCAGGGUUGAUUCGGCUGAUCUGGCUCCCUCAGAGCUUUUCUCCCUCGCCUUCU